GCAAAGUAGCGGGCGAAGCAGGUGUUUGGGAAGCAGUUACCCAGGCAACAAAACCAGGGCGUUCCAGAGGUGGUUGCUAUGGAGAACUGGAUGCUGACGAAGGCUUGUGAGGCUGAGAAGACAAAUUGCCCUCAUCAUUAUCUCCAGGCUUGUCAAUCAUACAUAUUCGCUUAUUUACCUCUGAGAAGGCGAGAGCGCUAGGAGCGAAGAGGAAAACGAGAAAGUGCGUGCUCAAGAGAGGAGAGGUGUUUGUGUAAAACUUCACGCCAGGGGAGGCAGUCACCAUCCAGGAUGGCAACCAUCACCUGCACCCGGUUCACGGAAGAAUACCAGCUCUUUGAAGAGCUGGGGAAAGGUGCUUUCUCAAUUGUCAGGAGGUGUGUGAAGGUGUUGUCAGGACAAGAAUAUGCUGCCAAGAUCAUAAACACCAAGAAGCUCUCAGCUCGUGUGAUAGAUCAUCAGAAACUGGAACGAGAGGCUCGGAUCUGCCGUCUCCUGAAGCAUCCUAAUAUAGUGAGGCUUCAUGACAGCAUAUCAGAGGAGGCACACCACUACCUGAUAUUUGACCUGGUGACAGGCGGAGAACUGUUUGAGGACAUCGUUGCUAGAGAAUACUAUAGUGAAGCAGAUGCCAGUCACUGCAUUCAACAGAUCCUGGAAGCUGUCUUACAUUGCCACCAGAUGGGUGUAGUGCACCGGGAUUUAAAGCCGGAGAACCUCCUGCUGGCAUCCAAACUGAAGGGAGCUGCUGUAAAACUGGCUGACUUUGGGCUUGCCAUUGAAGUGGAAGGGGAGCAGCAGGCUUGGUUUGGUUUUGCAGGUACUCCAGGCUACCUUUCGCCCGAGGUGCUCCGAAAGGACCCCUACGGCAAAGCUGUGGACUUGUGGGCAUGUGGAGUUAUUCUGUAUAUUCUGCUGGUUGGCUAUCCUCCUUUCUGGGAUGAGGAUCAACAUCGACUAUACCAGCAGAUCAAAGCUGGAGCCUAUGAUUUUCCUUCUCCCGAGUGGGAUACUGUCACUCCUGAAGCAAAAGAUCUCAUCAAUAAAAUGUUGACGAUCAACCCAUCCAAACGUAUCACAGCAGCUGAAGCUCUGAAGCACCCAUGGAUAUCACACCGUUCCACCGUGGCAUCUUGCAUGCACAGGCAGGAGACUGUGGACUGCUUGAAGAAGUUCAAUGCCAGAAGGAAGCUAAAGGGUGCAAUCCUCACUACAAUGCUAGCAACCCGGAAUUUUUCUGGAGGGAAAAGUGGUGGCAACAAGAAGAACGAUGGCGUCAAGAAAAGAAAGUCCAGUUCCAGCGUUCAGUUAAUGGAAUCUUCAGAGAGCACAAACACCACCAUUGAGGAUGAAGACACCAAAGUACGAAAACAGGAAAUCAUUAAGGUGACGGAGCAGCUGAUUGAAGCAAUAAGCAAUGGGGACUUUGAGUCCUACACGAAAAUGUGUGACCCUGGGAUGACAGCUUUUGAACCAGAAGCUCUAGGGAACCUGGUGGAAGGGCUGGAUUUCCAUAGAUUCUACUUUGAAAACUUGUGGUCUAGAAACAGCAAGCCGGUCCACACUACCAUCCUGAACCCUCACAUCCACUUAAUGGGAGAUGAAUCUGCCUGCAUUGCCUACAUCCGCAUCACGCAGUACGUCGACACCAGUGGGAUCCCUCGCACUGCACAGUCGGAGGAGACCCGAAUCUGGCACCGCCGGGAUGGCAAAUGGCAAAUUGUUCACUUCCACAGAUCUGGAGCACCUUCUGUCUUACCACAGCGGGAACAUUCAAACACACAAGCCCCCACCUGCACUCUGGAAUGAUACAGUCCAGCAUCAGAUACUUCACGUGUGUCUGAUCAUCUGUUUCUGAUCUGAAGCAUCAGCCCCUCAGGCCAGGUUUCUCACUGCCUCACUACAAAGGGAAGAUCCCUGCUAUCCUUUACCUAGGGAACUUGGCUGCUGCUGCUGACUCUCCUCCUUGGUUCUUGCUGGAAUUCCUUUCACACACAGAGCUCCUCACCAAAAUAAACCAAGAAUUUAAUAGACUUUUUCUCCUUCUGUUUCACACGCUCUGCGUUUUGCCACUUUGUGCCAUUGUAGUAGAACAGGGCAAGACACCCUAUUGCAUGAAAAAGCUUUUCUGUGGUUAACGGGAGAAACCCAAUGUGGGGGGUAGCCUUCAGCCACUACUGCCCACAGAUUUCAUAGAACCACCCUGGUUCAGUACUUAAAAUUAACUGUGUUCCUCCCAAGGACAUGGUUUAUUUUGGUCUCUUUGCUGUUUUCCACUAAGUCUUAAGGGGCCUGAGAGAAAGGGGAGCAUGUUCCACUGCAGAAUCAGAAGUCACCUCCUUGCAAUGGCAGAUCGAUGCCCAUCCACACAAUGCAACGUUCUUGCUCGAUUAUGAUCUCAGCCAAAAUCAAAAAUACUUUUAUACUGCCCUGCGUUACCUAAAUUCCAGAUCGAUAAGCAUACAUGCAACGCAAGAUUCUUGCUUGAUCAUGACCUCAAUCAUUUUAUUUAUUUUUAAAUAUUUCUAUGCCACCAUUCAUUAUUUAAAUCCGGAGCAGUUCACACUGCACCGCUGUCACUCAUCUACAUCUACAUCUUCUGUUCUGUGUGAAGUUAAAAUCUUACAAGUAUCAGCCUAUAUUCAUUAAAGCCUAGUAAAAUUCUGCUGGGAUGAAUAUGGCUUUAUGGCGCAUAAAAUGCAGAAUCCAUUUCUCUUCCCAGAGAACGUACCUUUUUGUGUGCCUGGACCAAUUGAGGUUCAUGACAAUUCCUUUCUCUUUUCAGAACGUGCAUGAAAUGAAACUGUUAACACUAUAUUGGCAUUAUAAUGUGUCUAAGAGCACAUAAAUGAAAUGAGAGGUUGGAAAUUCAGCAUGGCAGCAGGGUAUUUUUCACCUUAUUUGUAAUACAGUGAUAUAGUUGAGGCAGUUUCUGCCACUAUCCAGCACACCACAGGAACUUCCUUUAUUCAUCUUAGUAAGGCUCUCCUAGAUGUUUCAUUUUAGAAUUCAGUUUUCUUUGAACUGGCCUUUUGCUCCUUUCUGGCAGGAUUUUGAGUCAUGCUUUUCCCCUCUGUCCCUUCAAGACUUAGAUUCACCAUUACGAGGAAGAGGGGAGGCUGAACCUUUUUAAUCCCACAAUUUCCCACAUACACACUUCAGGCAAUUUGACAGCAUUGAAGAUGCGGGCACUAUGGAAACAGAACUGCCCCUUCAAUUUGACAUAAAAAUAGAGGCCAACACUUUCCAGCAAAGACAGAGAAUGCAAGCUUUACUAAUGACACUUUGAGGCGUUUUGAUUAUGCUUUCAACAAACAAAAUGAAACCUUUCGCUAUCUCUUGUACUUUGAGCGCAUGCCUUUUUAUAUGAAAAACAAACAAACAAAACCCUUCCGUGCUAUUUCGUAAAUGGAUUUUGAGUAUUUGCUAAAAUGGAUCUUUAUGUAAUACCUAGAAAUAUCAAUUGUUUGGGUUUGUGGCUGAUUUUUAAUGAAGUUGGGAUGGGGUGGGUGGGGCUUAAUAUGUUAUUGUUUACAUUUGGAGUUGACUUUGUGGCAAAUUGUUCUUGAAAGUGCAAAAGGGCACAAUAAGCUGGACAUGUGGGCAGGAUUUCUGAUGUGGGCUUCUGGCAAAUCUCAAGAGUGCUUUACGCCAUAAUAGGACUCCUUGUGGUCAUGUACUCUCUAUAUGCCAUGAGAAAGGUUUGGCAAUCAGAAUCGCACAUCCUAAUGAAAGGAACCCAAUGGAGAGACUGAGGAAACUUCCAAACUGGGGUCAAACGACAGCAUCUGCUUUUAAAAACACUGGAGUCAUCUUCAAGGAAUGCAGGAAUGGGUUCUUCACAAGCCAGAAUGUCCCUGACACCAUUGUUGUUUUGAUGGCAUAUGGAGGGGCUGAAAGAUCUUCUAUUUUUGGCAUCACCUUCUUGCCUUCUAGUACAGGUAUGGGAAGUGUGAUGGUUGUUGAUUUUUUGGCAGUCUUUCCGUUUCUUGUUAUCUUUUAUUUUUUUGAAACUUUAAAAGUCUUUACUCUUUGAUGUGAGAUUAACUACCGUGCACUUCUACUACCAAGGGAACUUAUAAAUGGCACUUUCUUCAUUUGCAUGACAUUUAACUUUAUAGACAGCUACGUGUACUUCAAAGCAAACAAACAUGCUUGUUUGGGGACAGUAACAACAACAACAACAGCAGCAACAACAACAACAGUGGGGGAAACUCUCUGUGUAAAUUUUGAAUGGUGUGAUUUUGCCUUUUCCGUGGUUUGAAGUGCUUAGCUUUCCAUCUUGUAAGGCAGGGCAGACAUCUGUCAAUAUAAAGCCAAGUUUUGCAAAGUGCAAGAAUAACUUCCCAUUGGAGAUGAGGGGGGAAAGUGACUAAGGGGAAAGGAGGGCCGUUUGACAGGAUCUGAUUUGCCUAAACAGGAGUUUGCUUUUUACUCAGAAGGGGCUGUCAGUGUACCAUUUUCCAAUUUCUAACAGAAAAAGUAUAACGUGAUUGAAUCAUUGGAGUUUUUUUGAUGCUCAACUGAAUACAAAAAAUUAUACUGAGGUGAGAAGGGCUUUCAUAUCAGGGGGGCUUGCCAUAAAAAUAUAGACCUGAGGACCUGUUUGCAUUUCCCCACUCAAAUUACUUGGAUUUCAGUCAAUUUGUUUCAUUUUUGUUUCAUUAUCCUCACCUACUAGUAGCAUUUAGAACAUACAUG